GACGAACGCUGGCGGCGUGCUUAACACAUGCAAGUCGAGCGGUAAGGGCCCUUUCGGGGGUACACGAGCGGCGAACGGGUGAGUAACACGUGGGUGACCUGCCUUUAGCUCUGGGAUAAGCCUGGGGAAACUGGGUCUAAUACCGGAUAUGACCCUAUGGCGCAUGUUGUGGGGUGGAAAGCCUUGUGCGGCUAGGGAUGGGCCCGCGGCCUAUCAGCUUGUUGGUGGGGUGAUGGCCUACCAAGGCGACGACGGGUAGCCGGCCUGAGAGGGCGACCGGCCACACUGGGACUGAGACACGGCCCAGACUCCUACGGGAGGCAGCAGUGGGGAAUCUUGCGCAAUGGGCGAAAGCCUGACGCAGCGACGCCGCGUGAGGGAUGACGGCC
rnacentral:rRNA from 1 species